ACCUUGAUAAGAAAUGGAUCCUUGUCCUCCAGAUGAAGAAAACAAGGCUCAAUCAGAACUUUCAACUCGGGACUCCUGGCUUCUAUCUUAUUCAAGAGUGUGCUGUGAACCCAUGAGUCUCCCACCGAGUGCUGCGUUUUCUACCUUUGGAUGCCAGGAGUGCUUCACGAGCUUCAAGAGGCCACUGUUCUUUCCUAAUGGGAAUCUUCUGUCCAUGAUUCACGCAUUAAACUCCUAUAAAUGGUUUUAUGUACAUGCUCAAAAUAUGUGGAUCUGCAAGAAGGCUAGGAGUGCUCUGAUGCCUACACCAGGCCAGAGUUUCUGUCAUCUCUGAUGAAACUUCCAAAGCUGAGCUCCACUUGGCACUGGGUCAUCAAUGACAGAUGAUCAACAAAGAAGCCAGUGUCCAGGAGAUGGAGAGAUGGAUGCCAUUGCCCCUACCUUUUACUUUGGUUGGUGACUUAAACACUACAGGAAAUUGUUAUUUCACAUGAUCUACCCAGCUCCAGAGCUGGUUAAUACAGCACCUAAAUGACAUCUCAGAGGUCCUUGUCUGUCUUUAAGGGUUUUGGUUUUUUGUUUGUUUGUUUGGUUGGUUUGGUUUGGUUUGGUUUGGUUUGGUUUGGUUUCUUGAGACAGGGUUUCUCUGUGUAGCCUUGGCUGUACUGGAGCUAGCUUUGUAGAUCAGGCUGGUCUCAAACUCCAAGAUCCACCUGCCUCUGCUUCCCAAGAGCUGGAACUUAAAGGUGUGCAUUACCACUGCCCAGCAGGUUCUUGUAUCCUGUAUUCUGUUGUUCCAGUCAUGGUUAUAGGAAGGUGUCCACAGCUCUGGGCAACCUCUGCUCCCCUUGGAACAGAAAGGGGCCUAUCUUUUCCUUGUGGUUCACCUACAAGCAGAUGGCCAGAUCUGGGCCAUCGAGAACUUAGCUUCAUGGACAUCAGGCAGUCAUCUCGUGACUGUGUUGUGACGACAUAGCUAAGAAGGCCUGAAGUGUUUGAAAGGAAGUUAAGCCAAGAAACAGGACACAUCUGCACACGAAUGUCAAUCUGAGCCCACAAAAGCUUCUGGACUUCUUCCGUGACCCCAAACCUUUCUUUUCAACUUGAUUGCCUGUCACUUGCAUCCCCAGGGACCUGCUCCUGGGAUUCACUUAUCAAAAUAAAAAUUCAUUGACCUUAAGCUCCAAUGUCCAUGUAGAGAUGGGAUGAGAACUUUUUGGAGUUGCUUCUUUCUUUCCUUCCUCCAUGUGGAUUCCAAGGAUCUAACUCAGGUCAGCAGGCUUGGCAGCAAGCAUCUUUACCUGCUGAGCCACCUCCCUGGCCCCAGUGGCUCCUCCUCCUUAGAACUAUUGAGAUUAUGAUUUAAUAAGAAAAAUAAGACACAGUCACAAGAGAAGCAGACUGGA